rnacentral:lncRNA from 1 species
CUGGACAACCUCUGAACACCUGUUGUAUCAUCGAACAAACUAAAGAACCAACAAUAUCCUACUGAGACUGAUAAAACCUAGCAUGAAAACCAUCAACUCCAGGAACUUUAAGCAGGGACAUACCAAAAACCGCAUUACGGAUUUCUAAAUCUGUCAUUUCCAUCUCAAGACUACCUUUUUCAAUUGGAGAUAAAACCUGAAAUUUACCUCUGUAAGGCAGAAACUCAUCAACUGAAUAAUCCAUGGCAAAC